GAUUAGAUGGCCGAGUGGUCCAAGGCGGUGCGUUAACGCCGCAGUAUACUCCGGUAGGCUGGGUUGGAAUCCCGCUGCAGUCA